CAGCAGUCGCCGCGGUAAUACGUAGGUGGCAAGCGUUGUCCGGAAUUAUUGGGCGUAAAGGGCUCGCAGGCGGUUUCUUAAGUCUGAUGUGAAAGCCCCCGGCUCAACCGGGGAGGGUCAUUGGAAACUGGGAAACUUGAGUGCAGAAGAGGAGAGUGGAAUUCCACGUGUAGCGGUGAAAUGCGUAGAGAUGUGGAGGAACACCAGUGGCGAAGGCGACUCUCUGGUCCGUAACUGACGCUGAGGAGCGAAAGCGUGGGGAGCGAACAGGAUUAGAUACCCCUGUAGUCCCUGUCUCUUAUAC
rnacentral:rRNA from 1 species